AACGAACGCUGGCGGCAGGCUUAACACAUGCAAGUCGAGCGCCCCGCCAGGGGUGCGGCAGACGGGUGAGUAACGCGUGGGAACGUACCCUUAUCUUCGGGCUAGCUCCGGGAAACUGGAAUUAAUACCGAAUGUGCCCUUUGGGGGAAAGAUUUAUCGUAUAAGGAUCGGCCCGCGUUGGAUUAGCUAGUUGGUGGGGUAAAGGCCUACCAAGGCGACGAUCCAUAGCUGGUCUGAGAGGAUGAUCAGCCACAUUGGGACUGAGACACGGCCCAAACUCCUACGGGAGGCAGCAGUGGGGAAUAUUGGACUAGGGGCGCAAGCCUGAUCCAGCCAUGCCGGGUGAGUGAUGAAGGCCUUAGGGUUGUAAAGCUCUUUCAACGGAGAAGAUAAUGACGGUAUCCGGAGAAGAAGCCCCGGCUAACUUCGUG
rnacentral:rRNA from 1 species